AGCCUGUGAUGCGAGAUUAUAUUUGCUACUCUUGAUGGGAUUGUUUUACCAUCGGAUGAUUCUUUAUCUACCAAGAUCUUUGAGGCC